AUAAUCGACUACAAUUUUAACUAGAAUUGUUUCACAUUCCAUUAGAUAGUUAUGUCUAAUGACAUGCAAAAUUGAAUCAUGGCCUUGUAUACAUAUGUGAUGCUAUUUUCAUCUCUUGCUAUAUUGACACUCUAGACCACCUCUAUUGCAAACUUAAGAAAGAAUGUAUUGCAUAGGUAUUUGAAGGCUUUCAACGCAUCCAUCCAAUAGCAAUUGUUUAUGGUUUUAAACUUUUAUUCUUCUUAAAAGUUCAACCAAGCAUCUUUUCUCUUAGACUUCAUAUGAGAGUAAAUUUUCCCCUCACUCCAAAUUAUAAGAUGGCCUCAAUUAAGAGUUUCUUUUAAUUGGUGAUGUGAAGUAGAAAUAGCAAUAAACAAGAAUAAAAGAUGAACAAUA
rnacentral:lncRNA from 1 species